GUAAUGGUUUCGACAGGGAUUUUGAAGCUGGAGAAGCGAGCCGCAGGGUGAUGCGUUAAAUUGCCACCUAAAUAUAAUUGCUAAAAACAAUCAUAAAAUCGUGCGUUUCCCUAGCAAUAGGGUCGCACUGGCUGCCUAAGUACAGCCGAGUCCGGCGGGAAUCCACCUGCAGGUUUCCGUUCGGGCUUCAAAUCAUGCAGGAAACGACAUAGGCAAAGCUUUGAGCCUAUGGGCGUAAUAUGAAGCUACUGAAGCUGGAAGGGUGCCUGUUCCCGUCUGGUGGAGGGAAUGUCAAAGAACAGGCUACGCUCGUAGAAGGACAGGGGAUAGGUUUUUGGACGCGGGUUCGACUCCCGCCUGAUCC
rnacentral:tmRNA from 1 species